rnacentral:rRNA from 1 species
AUCUAAGGUUAGGAAUCUUAUAAUUUUUAUUAUAAGUUUAAAGACGAAUCUAACUAACAGGUGUCGUCCAAAUGCUGUCAGUUGUAGUGGGAUUACAACAUAUAUGGCUAUUAAAUUACCAAAUUCCGGGGACACCCUAAAGAUUAAAGUACCAAGCUAUAUUCGAAAGAAUGUAAGUGGCUGAAGUAAUGAUUCAGGUAUGGUAACAAGCUUUAAGAUGAUUGAAAAUGAAAUGGGAUAUCGCGGAUCUAAGUCAUCUGUAUCUAAUUUAAAUAAUAAAUUAAUAGCUACAGGUGUAAAAGAGCAACGAGUAGACGGUAAUUGGUGUUUUCUUAAAUCAAGAAAAUGUUUAAGGUAUACUCUAACGGGUCUCGAAAGAGACUAUCUAGUCGGAAUCCCUUCUAAUCAAAAAGCUAAAAUAUUUUUUUCUACUAGUGAUAAUAUAACAUUGAAUCCUUAUUUUGUUACAGGUUUUACAGAUGCUGAAGGAAGUUUUACUGUCUCUAUUUAUCCUGAUAGUUCUAUGAAGACCGGUAUUAGAGUAACUGCUGAAUUUAAAAUAGGCUUGAACGAACGAGAUAGUGAUCUUUUAUUAAAAAUUCAACAAUUUUUUGGAGGAAUAGGUAAAAUAAAUUAUAAUAAUUCCUCUAAAGCAUCAAUAUAUAGAGUAUAUAAAAAAGAUGAUUUGUUAAAUGUUAUNNNNNNNNNNNNNUUUCACNUUCAACCAGUAUUAAGAGAAAAUGUAAAAAUUGUAAAUAUCACUGAUCCUAACUGAAUCGCAGGGUUUGUUAGUGGUGAAGGUAAUUUUGAUGCUGGAAUUCGAAAAGCAACAGAUACUAGAAAAGAAAGAGUAUACUUAAGAUUUAGAGUUACUCAACACAGUAGAGAUAUCGAUUUAAUGGAAUUACUCAUAAAGUAUUUAGAAGCUGUAAGAAUUGAAUGAGAUAAUAGAAUUGAAAAUUCUGCGGUAAGUAUUGUAGCAGGUAACUUUUUAGAUAUAACAAAUAAAAUAAUUCCUUUCUUUAAUAAAUAUCUCAUUUAUGGUAUUAAAUAUUAUGAUUAUUUAGAUUGAGUAAAAAUUGCAGAAUUAAUAAAAUUAGGCAAAAAUAAAACUUUUGAAGGAAUGGAAUAAAUAAACCGAAUAGAAACUAGAAUGAAUAAAGGUAGAAAAUAAUAAAAAUUAGCUAUUGUACGAUAAAUCCGAUAACCGUGGGUGCCAGAAGACUCGGUAAUACCAGAGACGCGAACGUUAAUCAUCUUGAAUGGGCAUAAAGGGUUUGUAGGCGGCUUAUUUAUUAAUAGGCUAGAAUCUUAUAGAGGUUAAUAAAAUACUUAGAGGAGGGCUGAUAUCCUUAGAUCCUAAGUGGAAUCCUAAUUGCGAAGGCCAUUUUCCACUACAGAUUGACGCUGAGACACGAAGGUUAGGAUAGGAACUAGGAUUAGAGACCCUAUUACCCCUAACUGUAAACGAUGAAUGGAAGAUAUUUACAACUGUAAGUGUCGAAGUGAAUACGAUAACCAUUCCGCCUUGCCAGUAUACUUGCAAAAGGAAAACAAAAAAAUUAGUCGU